UAUUAUGCAUCCAGUCCCUUGCUGUCCAUAUCGGACAAAAACUUUUGAAAAGAAAUCUGAUCAGAUUCAGAUUUAACUGCUUCGUCUUGGUUGAGUCCCAUGCCAUCCCUAUAAAUAGAGAGUCGAGGGAUGCCAUUCUGCACCCAUCCACUCUUCCUCCAGCAAUUGUGAAGCAAUUUGUAUUCACAAUGAAGCAAGCUUCCUUCUCCGUCCUCUUUCUUGCCGCUCUCUUGCUGCUCUCUGUAGCUUCGGCAGAUGUGGUAGAAAAACAAAACGAAAAGCAAGCGACAGGCGAUCUUCUUUGUGGAGUCAGUUGCCACAAUGGUCGAUGCUGCGGAUAUGGUGAGAGCUGCUGCUCCGGCACUGGAUGCUGCCGAUCAGGUCAGAGAUGCUGCGGCCAUCUUCUUUGCUGCAAUGUUGAGGAGUAUACUGCGUUCGUGAAUGCUCACGCUGUCCCUAGCAGGAUAGCAUCCAUUGCAAACUGAAACCUUCUCAUUUCUAAUCUGUUAUCGUCUUCAUCAUGAUGAUAGCAGUACUUAUGGUGCAUCUAAAUAAUAAAAGGAGCAUGCUUAUUGUCAGAUAGGACAGCUAGCAUGCAGGGUGCGCCUUUCCUAGUCCUUGUUGUUGUUAGCAACAAGCAGUAUUUGCGUCUAUCGUGUUUCCUUGCGCUAUGAAAUAAAAUAUGUUCUAUGUUUGAUUA